AGAGUUUGAUCAUGGCUCAGAUUGAACGCUGGCGGCAUGCUUUACACAUGCAAGUCGAACGGCAGCGCGGGGGCAACCCUGGCGGCGAGUGGCGAACGGGUGAGUAAUGUAUCGGAACGUAUCCUGUAAUGGGGGAUAACCAGUCGAAAGAUUGGGUAAUACCGCAUACGCACGAGAGUGGAAAGUAGGGGAUCGCAAGACCUUACGUUAUAGGAGCGGCCGAUAUCUGAUUAGCUAGUUGGUGGGGUAAAGGCCUACCAAGGCGACGAUCAGUAGCUGGUCUGAGAGGACGACCAGCCACACUGGGACUGAGACACGGCCCAGACUCCUACGGGAGGCAGCAGUGGGGAAUUUUGGACAAUGGGCGAAAGCCUGAUCCAGCCAUGCCGCGUGCAGGAAGAAGGCCUUCGGGUUGUAAACUGCUUUAGUCUAGGAAAAAGGGGUGCGAGGUUAAUACCCUCGUGCUUUGAUGGUACUGGAAGAAUAAGCACCGGCUAACUACGUGCCAGCAGCCGCGGUAAUACGUAGGGUGCGAGCGUUAAUCGGAAUUACUGGGCGUAAAGCGUGCGCAGGCGGUCUUGUAAGACAGUCGUGAAAUCCCUGGGCUUAACCUAGGAACUGC
rnacentral:rRNA from 1 species